rnacentral:rRNA from 1 species
UACGUAGGGGGCUAGCGUUGUCCGGAAUCAUUGGGCGUAAAGAGCGUGUAGGCGGUCCGGUAAGUCCGCUGUGAAAGUCGGGGGGCUCAACCCUCGGAUGCCGGUGGAUACUGUCGGGCUUGAGUACGGAAGAGGCGAGUGGAACUCCUGGUGUAGCGGUGAAAUGCGCAGAUAUCAGGAGGAACACCAAUUGCGAAGGCAGCUCGCUGGGACGUUACUGACGCUGAGACGCGAAAGCGUGGGGAGCAAACAGG